rnacentral:misc_RNA from 1 species
GACGUUGUAAAACGACGUUAUGCAUGAACGUAAUUGGUUUAUCCACGACGUUGUAAAACGACGUUAUGCAUGAACGUAAUGCUCAUAACUUCCCUCUAGACCUAGCUGCUAUUGAAGCUCCAUCUACAAAUGGAUAAGACUUUGGUCUUAGUAUAAGUGUAGUCGAUUUUUUGAUUGGAAAGUAAAGGAAAGGGAGCAAUAACCAACACUCUUGAUAGAAUAAGAAAUUGGUUAUUGUUCCUUUAUUUAGUGCUCUUUUCGGUUUUUCUUUACUUCAACAUAAGAAAAAGAGGAGUCUAAUCUUAGGGAUUGGUUUAUGAUUGCGUAUCAUACUUUUUCCUUAUAUAGAAAUCUCGAAUUUAUAUACAUUCUUUUCAACCCUUUGUAAUACUUUGUGAGAUCAUUAUCUUCUAGUUUUUUUUUGAAUAAAAAGGAAAGGUUAUCAUUUUCCGCUUAUUAUAUCUCAUAAGUAAGAUAAAAAAUGUUAAAAAUUAAUAAUCGAAAUGAAAUAUUUUUCAUUAUUUUGAAUGAAAUUCAAAAUGGAAUAAAUAGAAAUACUAGUAAUAGUAGGGGCGGAUGUAGCCAAGUGGAUCAAGGCAGUGGAUUGUGAAUCCACCAUGCGCGCC